rnacentral:rRNA from 1 species
GGAGUUAGCCGGUGCUUCUUCUGUGAGUGAUGUCCUUCCUGCCGGCUAUUAACCCGCAGGCCUUCUUCCUCACUGAAAGUGCUUUACAACCCGAAGGCCUUCUUCACACACGCGGCAUGGCUGGAUCAGGGUUGCCCCCAUUGUCCAAUAUUCCCCACUGCUGCCUCCCGUAGGAGUCUGGGCCGUGUCUCAGUCCCAGUGUGGCUGAUCAUCCUCUCAGACCAGCUACGGAUCGUCGCCUUGGUGAGCCGUUACCUCACCAACCAGCUAAUCCGACAUAGGCUCAUCCGAUAGCGCGAGGCCCGAAGGUCCCCCGCUUUCCCCCGUAGGGCCGUAUGCGGUAUUAGCCUGGGUUUCCCCAGGGUUAUCCCCCACUACCGGGCAGAUUCCUAUGCAUUACUCACCCGUCCGCCGCUCGCCACCAGGGAGCAAGCUCCCCGUGCUGCCGCUCGACUUGCAUGUGUUAGGCCUGCCGCCAGCGUUCAAUCUGAGCCAGGAUCAAACUCUGA